UCAGGUAGUAACAGAGGGUUCGAUCCUGGCUCAGAUUGAACGCUGGCGGGAUGCUUUACACAUGCAAGUCGAACGGCAGCACGGACUUCGGUCUGGUGGCGAGUGGCGAACGGGUGAGUAAUGUAUCGGAACGUGCCUAGUAGCGGGGGAUAACUACGCGAAAGCGUAGCUAAUACCGCAUACGGCCCUUCGGGGGAAAGCGGGGACCUUCGGGCCUCGCACUAUUAGAGCGGCCGAUAUCGGAUUAGCUAGUUGGUGGGGUAACGGCUCACCAAGGCGACGAUCCGUAGCUGGUUUGAGAGGAUGACCAGCCACACUGGGACCGAGACACGGCCCAGACUCCUACGGGAGGCAGCAGUGGGGAAUUUUGGGAUACCGGGGGAAACCCUGAUCCAGCCAUCCCGCGUGUGCGAUGAAGGCCUUCGGGUUGUAAAGCACUUUUGGCAGGAAAGAAACGGCACGGGAUAAUACCCCGUGCAACUGACGGUACCUGCAGAAUAAGCACCGGCUAACUACGUGCCAGCAGCCGCGGUAAUACGUAGGGUGCAAGCGUUAAUCGGAAUUACUGGGCGUAAGCGUGCGCAGGCGGUUCGGAAAGAAAGAUGAAAUCCCAGAGCUUAACUUUGGAACUGCAUUUUUAACUACCGAGCUAGAGUGUGUCAGAGGGAGGUGGAAUUCCGCGUGUAGCAGUGAAAUGCGUAGAUAUGCGGAGGAACACCGAUGGCGAAGGCAGCUUCCUGGAUACCAUCGACGCUCAUGCACGAAAGCGUGGGGAUAAAACAGGAUUAGAUACCCCGGUAGUCCACGCCCUAAACGAUGUCAACUAGCUGUUGGGGCCUUCGGGCCUUGGUAGCGCAGCUAACGCGUGAAGACCGCCUGGGGAGUACGGUCGCAAGAUUAAAACUCAAAGGAAUUGACGGGGACCCGCACAAGCGGUGGAUGAUGUGGAUUAAUUCCGAUGCAGCAACGCGAAAACCCACCUACCCUUGACAUGUCUGAAUCCCGAAGAGAUUUGGGAGUGCUCGCAAGAGAACCGGAACACAGGUGCUGCAUGCAUGUCGUCAGCUCGUGUCGUGAGAUGUUGGGUUAAGUCCCGCAACGAGCGCAACCCUUGUCAUUAGUUGCUACGAAAGGGCACUCUAAUGAGACUGCCGGUGACAAACCGGAGGAAGGUGGGGAUGACGUCAAGUCCUCAUGGCCCUUAUGGGUAGGGCUUCACACGUCAUACAAUGGUCGGGACAGAGGGUCGCCAACCCGCGAGGGGGAGCCAAUCCCCCAGAAACCCGAUCGUAGUCCGGAUCGCAGUCUGCAACUCUCGACUGCGUGAAGUCGGAAUCGCUAGUAAUCGCGGAUCAGCAUGUCGCGGUGAAUACGUUCCCGGGUCUUGUACACACCGCCCGUCACACCAUGGGAGUGGGUUUUACCAGAAGUAGUUAGCCUAACCGUAAGGAGGGCGAUUACCACGGUAGGAUUCAUGACUGGGGUGAAGUCAACAGGCCAGCAA
rnacentral:rRNA from 1 species